UUACAUUCUAUUGGCAUCCAUACCAGAAACCCGAUGAGCCACAUUUAUAGUCAGUGGGAUCUUUCAGGAACCAAUGGGGGACCAAAAUUGCUGGAUCUGGCAAUUCUGUUUUUUUUUUCCUAUACUAGACCAGAAAAUGAAGUCUUAAACAAUUAUUCGUACCACAGGUGAGGAUAAUGGAGAAAUGUCCUUUUUGUCUAGUUGUCUGGUAGAAGAUUAAGUUACACAGGAAUGCAUGAACACCGAUAAGUAUUAUGACAGACGUCACUGGCUGACAAUUGCCAUGGUUAUUCUUCUGGUCAUAGACACUGACAUAGGAGAUGCCCAGUGCCGUACACCACACUAUGCUUUUAGUAGGAAUUCUGCUCUAGGCAGACCUUCUGCUGCACUUUUAAAUGGAUUAUCCCAUGAUAAAUAUAAAAAUGACGAAUCCAACAUCAAACAGUAGGUGACAAUCUUACUAACAUGGCUAGAACCAGCACUAUACUUCACAUUGAGGCCUCAUGCGCACCGCCGUUGUGUGGCCGUUCCGUGCAUUGGGGACAGCAGUUUGCUCUCUCCCUGUAACUGCUGCAGCUUCUAACAGUAGAAUUGGUUGGUGUCAGUUGAAGGAUGGAACUAAGCAUGUGCCAUCCACCUCAGAGGUGGGCAGAAAUAAGGAAAAUAUCAAAACAGCAGAUGACGCUAUUCAUAUACAUUUUAUUGAAUAAUUCAGUGGCUAGGCUUAAUUUUUAAUGAAGUGCAAUUACAAAAGUAAUAACAUUCGGAUGCUGGUCUGAAAAAUAUAGAAUAGUUUUUGUGGAACAAUUUCUUAAAGUGCCCAGUCUGAGGAAGGGCAGUAGUGCCUGUGGUACACUAACUAGGAAGCGCUAGUGCCACACUGCACACGCUAAACCAGGAGUGGAGCAACUUCUUGCCUUCGCUUCCUCCACAAAUGUAAGCCUGCAGUCUGAAUUAUCCCCUUCCUGCCCAGACUAUAGCAGGAAGGGAUUAAUAAAAAAAUUUCCAUAAAAAAAAAAGUUAAAAUAUAAAGUGAAAUAAAGAAAAUUGCAAAUGUUGUAGCUAUAGUCACUAGUUUUAGCAAUAGUAUAGCAGACUUUGUAUAACAUGUACACUCACUUUCCCCCCCCCCCCCUUUUUUUUUUUUUUCUUUCAUAAAAAAAAUAGUUAUUCAUUUUAGCUAUAUUUAGUAUGGGGGGGGGGGGGGGGAUUUGUAUAAAAUAGAAAAAGUAAAUAAAGGCCAAAAGCUUAAAAUAUCCAAAGUUGCUCAAAAUAAAUACAAUUAAGGGUCUUGCUGGAUAAAUUGCACGAAUAGUGUCCAUGGUCUUAGAAAUGUUUUCUCUUGAAAUUUUUUGCAACAGAAAAAAAAAAUGUAUCGUUUUCUGUAAUUUAAAAAAAAUAUAUAUUUUAUUUGUCACCUAAUGGCACAAAAGAAAGGUCUAAGUGUCCUGUGAAAAAUCAGAUACAUGUAGGCUGGCUCAGAAAGUAGUUAUUUACAGUGCUAGGCCCCAAAUUGGACUGGUAAGGAAAUGGUUAAACUAGAAAUUGCUACUGAAAAAUACUAGAAAGUAUUUUUAUUUCACAAAGCUAUGUAGCUAGUUCUAGUUGGUGCCUUUUUUUUUUUUUUAAACAUUGUACGAAGUAAAAUACAAUUCGUUUUAACAACAUCAGUGAUUUCUGAUGAAUCACACGGCCAUUUUUCUUCUCUCCUGACCGGCCACGCACAAACUGGUGAGAGAAAGUGUAUUUGUAUUUCAUUGG